GAUCCUGGCUCAGAUUGAACGCUGGCGGCAUGCCUUACACAUGCAAGUCGAACGGUAACAGGUCUUCGGAUGCUGACGAGUGGCGAACGGGUGAGUAAUACAUCGGAACGUGCCCGAUCGUGGGGGAUACGAGGCGAAAGCUUUGCUAAUACCGCAUACGAUCUACGGAUGAAAGCGGGGGGAUCUUCGGACCUCGCGCGGACGGAGCGGCCGAUGGCAGAUUAGGUAGUUGUGGGAUAAAAG
rnacentral:rRNA from 1 species